GGGAGGGCAGUGGUAGGCUUAACUAACUGUAUCGACUUGCCUGGAGACUCCACCUGACCACUGAAGGGCAGCGAGGAAUCAGUGUCCUGUCACCACACAGAAGGCCUGGGGGCACCGGGAGCAGGCAGCACAGCUAACCACCAGGAGACUGGGCACACCUACGGGAUGCAUGCAGACAGGAUCAAGUUUGUUCUGAGGAAGAGUUCAGACCUCAAACCCUGGUGUCCUGCCUGCCUGCCGCUCAGAGGAGAGAGAGAGCCAGCAGGCACCACCCACCCAGCCCGGAAGAGACCAGAGAGCAGAGUCCUCAACGCCCAGGGCUUUCCGAGAGAUCACAGGUCUGAAAAGGAGCAGCUUCGGGGAGAAGGGCAAGCAUCCCCUGACAUAGCCCGGCCUCCUUGUCUGGAUUAAUCACGGGAUCUCCACGGCUGCUGCUAUCUAACUGAUGCCAAAACAUGUCUUCCCCCCCCCCCAUUCCCUUUUGUACCUUAGGGAAUCAGCUGUAGUAAAAGACACAUGGCUCCUGUGUGGACUAACAGUGAGAAAAUCUACUUCUGGGCCCUGAAGAUGGCAGCCCAGUUCCUAUGAGUGUGUCUACAAAUGUGCCUGUGUGUCUGAGUGUGUAUAUGUGUACACACAGAAAGGAGACUUUUGUCCACAUCUCUGGUGUACGAACAAG
rnacentral:lncRNA from 1 species